rnacentral:rRNA from 1 species
AUUGAACGCUGGCGGCAGGCCUAACACAUGCAAGUCGAACGAGUGGCGGACGGGUGAGUAAUGUCUGGGAAACUGCCCGAUGGAGGGGGAUAACUACUGGAAACGGUAGCUAAUACCGCGUACCAUCGGCUGUGCCCAGAUGGGAUUAGCUUGUAGGUGAGGUAACGGCUCACCUAGGCGACGAUCCCUAGCUGGUCUGAGAGGAUGACCAGCCACACGGGAACUGAGACACGGUCCAGACUCCUACGGGAGGCAGCAGGGGGGAAUAUUGCACAAUGGGAGCAAGCCCGAUGCAGCCAGUCCGCGUGGAUGAAGAAGGCCUUCGGGUUGUAAAGUACUGUGAGCGGGGAGGCGUUACCCGCAGAAGAAGCACCGGCUAACUCCGGGCCAGCAGCCGCGGUAAUUC